rnacentral:rRNA from 1 species
AACGAACGCUGGCGGCAGGCCUAACACAUGCAAGUCGAGCGCGCCCUUCGGGGUGAGCGGCGGACGGGUGAGUAACGCGUGGGAACGUGCCCUUCUCUGCGGAAUAGCCUCGGGAAACUGAGAGUAAUACCGCAUACGCCCUUUGGGGGAAAGAUUUAUCGGAGAAGGAUCGGCCCGCGUUGGAUUAGGUAGUUGGUGGGGUAAUGGCCCCCCAAGCCGACGAUCCAUAGCUGGUUUGGGAGGAUGAUCAGCCACACUGGGACUGAGACACGGCCCAGCCUCCUACGGGAGGCAGCAGUGGGGAAUCUUAGACAAUGGGGGCAACCCUGAUCUAGCCAUGCCGCGUGAGUGAUGAAGGCCUUAGGGUUGUAAAGCUCUUUCAGCUGGGAAGAUAAUGACGGUACCAGCAGAAGAAGCCCCGGCUAACUCCGUG